UAUGAAUGCUUCAGAGUACAACAGUUUAUUGUGAACAGAAAAAGUAACAUCACCUUAUCCCUCCUGCCCCCUAGUGGCAUGGGGGGUACCACCCACUGAAUGGGGAUAAAACAAAAAUGCACAAUAUAUUAAAAAAAUGGGCAACAAACAUGCCGCAAGUGUGCACCAAGUACCUUAAAUAGACUUGCUUGCAACAUCACCACUCAUUCCUUCAUCAGUGCUCAGGACAAUAAAUGGCAUCCAAUCUAUUACACCCUAAACCACAUCAUAAACUUAUUUUAGUAUAUUUUCUACAGUUGUCUCAUUUAUUUAGUAGUGCAUACCAGGAGGAAAUUGCCUUAUGAGCUUGGCUGCAGGGUUAAAUAAACAAUAGAAUGGCAACAAAGAACAACACAAAACUGCACAAGAACUACAGUUAUUACAGGCAACCUUCUUGGUCAUCCACUUUAAUGAGUCAAACGUAAUGAUUCCCAUGUGGUUCUGGUUCAUGUGUCACUCCUUGGCAGCAUAACAUUAGUAUUUGAUCUGAAUCUAAUUGAACACAUUUUUCAUAUGCUAAAGAGGGAACUUAAGGGAACUAGCCCCCGAAAGAAGCAGUUGCUGAAGAUGGCUGCAGGACAGGCCUGGCAGAGCAUCACCAGAGAAGAUACUCAACUGAUGUCUAUGGCACAGACUUCAUGCGAUCAUCAGUACAAACAAUGCAAUGCUGGCAAUACUUCAAGCCAACUCAAGCUGCAUGUCAUGGAAAAAAUGACCAGCAAUAAAUAAAAAUGCCAUCC